CUUAGUUGUAUUGUGAGGUAUUUGCUAUGCUAGCAUAGUAUGUAGCUUAGUAAUAUUGUGAGGUAUUUGCUAUGCUAGCAUAGUAUAUAACUUGGUAAUAUUGUGCGGUAUUAGCUGUGCUAAAAGUCCGCAGCGGGUAAGUAUAUGGGGGUUAAAAAUAGAACCAGGGGAAGAACCCUUGUAUGGCUGGACAAAAUUCAAAGAUUCUUGUGUAAUCAGGAUGCAGGACACGUGAC